UACGAGGGGUGCAAGCGUUGCUCGGAAUUAUUGGGCGUAAAGGGUAGGUAGGUGGUCUCAUUUGUCUGGGGUGAAAUCCUUGAGCUUAACUCAAGAACUGCCCCAGAAACGGUGAGACUCGAGUACUGGAGAGGGUCGUGGAAUUCCCGGUGUAGCGGUGAAAUGCGUAGAUAUCUGGAGGAACACCGGUGGCGAAGGCAGGUCUCUGGGCUAUAACUGACGCUCAUGCACGAAAGCGUGGGGAGCAAACAGG
rnacentral:rRNA from 1 species